UACGUAUAAAAUUUUUCGAGUGUCAUAAGAAGAUAUGAUUUACAAAGUGCACAUGAACAUGAAACCGUAAUAGCCCCCCCAGAUAUUUUGGCAAUAUAUGACUUACUGCACAUUGUUUAUCCUUACUGUCAAGAAAGAACCAGGAGUAUCGAAAUACUAGAGAUUACACCGAACGCGCCUUCUGGUACUUCAGGACCAGUAGCGCCCAUGGUGGAAGGGAUAGCAUGGUGUGUGCAGUUCGGCUAAACCACGCCCACUUUUGCUCUGCAAGGGCAGAGAGGAACCUGAGAGGGGACAGGCUUCGAGUUUAGAUGGAACCUUAUUUUGAAGCGCCUCUAUGUUUCGUGAAAAAUGGACAUUGAACUACGUAGCCAAUGUCCUAUUUCCACGUCGGUAAUGUCCACGUUUAGGUGGUUCUCAGCGGUGCUAUGUCCAUUUUUACGGUUCUCUUCUGUGCUAUGUGCAGGAGUGAGAGAUGCAUCAGUUGGAUAAAGACGGAUAAUGGAUCUCUGUCUGUCUUCUGUUUAGACCAUCGGUUAGAGAGAGAAAGUAUCGCGGUAGCAAACACGGAGCGAGCGGCGAUGUUAUCUCUACGGAUACCCUCCUCUCCACUCCCCUUUCGCCUAUCUCGUUUUCCGCGCUACGUUUUGGCCGUAAAAUUCAGAAAGUCCUCUUCGGACGAUUUCUGGGCAGGGACGUAGAAAGGCCAGAAAGCGCCUACUCUUUAAAAAUGUUUUAUAUUUUGUUAUAUUUGUUGUAAUGACGUACGCGCAUAUGUAUGAUUUAAAAAUGACAAUAUGCGCGUGUUUAAUAUUGUACAAAAAAAUAAUAAUGUAAUAAAAGAAUUUAUGGAUACCUGAGAA